GGGGAUAUAGUUCAAUGGUAGAACAAUAGAUUUUUGCGUGGGUUCGAAUCCCACUCUCG
rnacentral:tRNA from 1 species